GAUGAACGCUGGCGGCGUGCCUAAUACAUGCAAGUCGAGCGAACGGACGAGAAGCUUGCUUCUCUGAUGUUAGCGGCGGACGGGUGAGUAACACGUGGAUAACCUACCUCUAAUACUGGGAUAACUUCGGGAAACCGGAGCUAAUACCGGAUAAUAUUUUGAACCGCAUGGUUCAAAAGUGAAAGACGGUCUUGCUGUCUCUUAUAGAUGGAUCCGCGCUGCAUUAGCUAGUUGGUAAGGUAACGGCUUACCAAGGCAACGAUGCAUAGCCGACCUGAGAGGGUGAUCGGCCACACUGGAACUGAGACACGGUCCAGACUCCUACGGGAGGCAGCAGUAGGGAAUCUUCCGCAAUGGGCGAAAGCCUGACGGAGCAACGCCGCGUGAGUGAUGAAGGUCUUCGGAUCGUAAGACUCUGUUAUUAGGGAAGAACAUAUGUGUAAGUAACUGUGCACAUCUUGACGGUACCUAAUCAGAAAGCCACGGCUAACUACGUG
rnacentral:rRNA from 1 species